ensembl:snoRNA
GAAAGUAGUUUCUUUCUGGCACAUUUGUUAAGUUUUCAAAUGGGUCUGACUGCACCACAUACAUUGUAAGGAGCUAGCAAAAGCUUAAAGACUGAAAUAUCUCUUAAGCUUUUUUUGGUGUCAGGAAGCCGAGUAACCCCUCCUCCCCCUGGU